GCCCGCGUACGCAUCUGGUGAAGCGACCGGAUUGUCGAUCCGGCGAGGAGGGUUCGAUCCCCUUCGCGGGCG
rnacentral:tRNA from 2 species